rnacentral:rRNA from 2 species
GACGAUGAGGUAGAUAGGUUCGAGGUGGAAGUGUGGUGACACAUGGAGCUGACGAAUACUAAUCGAUCGAGGACUUAACCAA